GAAAGAUACAAACAGAACUAAUUAUUCAAAAAUUUACAUGAGAAGAUAUACAUUAAAAUUUUCUUCGCACAAGUUUUUCUCGCGAAUUCCUUCUUAUCUUCAAUCUCCACAUCAAAUCAAGAUAUAAUACAACAUAUUCGACAAUCACUGACAAGGUCGUGAAAGAAAGGCGGGUGGUUUGUCAAAAUAAGGUCAUUACGAUCAUCGACCCAGCUCUCGACCUGUAGUCAACACCAGAAUCUAAUGUUUCGACGAAACAGUGGUCUUUUAAGACUUUUAUAAAAGGUACAAAAUUUCCUCUUUGUAAUCCAUUCUUGUACAAGUCAUCGGGCGAUCUAUUGCUUGUUGCAAUAACAAUCACACCGUUAUUGAACAAUUCAGUAAAUAAUCGUUUCAAUAUCAUUGCAUCCGCAAUGUCUGUCACCUGAAAUAUAUAAUAUAACACGAUAUAUAAAACAAAAAUACAAUUUCAUUUAAAAAAAAAUAUUGUCAAAUCGAAACCUGAAAUUCAUCAAAGCAUAAUAACCAAGCUUCUUCUGUAAUAGCAGCGGCUACUGGUGGUAUUGGAUCAAAUGGUUGAAGUUUAGUACUAUUAGUAUCUCUCACUAUAGUCUUCUUUACCUCGUGAACUUUCUUAUGCACAUCAAGCAUGAAGGAAUUAAAAUGUACACGUUUCUUAUUUUCAAUCUAAACCAACAUAGUCAACGGUAGUAACAAUAUUGCUUGACAUUAAAGCAAAGUUUAAUUUUAUUCCGUAUUGCAUAUGGAAAGCCAUUAUACCUUUACAUCGCUUCUAUGAUUGUCUUUAUAAUAUAUUCCAUUGGCUGUACAAGCUAUAUUUCCUGUGCAACGUGUCCUUUACACUAUAGAAUUACACUGAAAAAAUAUCAUACCUUGUCAUAGAAUUCUUUAACAUAUUUUGGCUCCCCAUGUGCAUUACUUACUUAAAAUCUAAGUUGAGAUACCUGACAACAAUUAUAAAAAAGAUCCAUUAACAUUGUUUUACCACCACCAACAGCACCAUAAAGAUACAACCCUUUUGGUGGAUCCUUUUUUUUCCAUCCAAACCAUUUUCCUAAUACAUUAAACUGAUCUGGUUUAUACUCAUGAACUUCUUCGUAUAUUUUUUGCAAACUUUUUACUACUUUUAAUUGAUGUUCAUCAUUCAUUAAUUCUUUUUUAGUUAUCUUUUCUUUCAAAGCUUCAAUAGGACCAUUAGUAACGUUUAAUUUUACAUCAUGAACAUAUCCACAAUACUGAAAGGAAAAAACAGUUUGUGAUCGUAGCAGUAAUUGUGAAAUGUAAUUCAAACCAGAAUACUUUUUCACAAGAAGGCUAAUCAUUGUGGUUGUAAUUAUUCUGAAAGAAAAAAAUAGAUUAUAAAUUUCUAUAGGUAAAAGGAAACUUCUUCCAAAUAUUCUAGUCACUGUUUUUAUUAUCAUUUUAAAAAGAAAUAUACUCAAUAUGGUUGUGUUUAGUCAGUAUUAAAGAAAUAUGUCUCAUCAGGAAUUUGAAUUGCACAUGCUCAGUAAAAUAAUGAGUAAUGAAUGGAAUAUUACAUACAUUAGUUAGGAAAUAAAAAAAAGAAUUUUCCUUUUUCAAUUUAUUCAGUUCAAUGUACACAGAGAUACACGUAUGUAUAUGCUCGUAAAAAAUAUGUCAGAAUAGAUAAAAAAAAUUUACACAACGUAUUUAUUCAUAUCGUUGCGCUUUAUAAAAGCAGCUAACUGAACGCGAUCAAUAUGGAAACAUAAGACAGCUCGGACGUUACACUUGUGGAAAGAUACCAAAGAUCAUACCGAAGUUUAGACUUGAAUGAAAAUCGUACAGAGUACAAGAAGAGAAAAAAUCUGUCUGGUCUACACGCAGGUUUGAAAGUCAGGAGGAAAAAGUCUUAAAAAGAGGUAACUAGGAACUAUAUGUGUCAAAAAACCUUCGACGAAGUUCAUGUGACAUAGAAAGACAAGUAGCUGGCGUUCAGCCAAUCGUAGCUUCGUUACUUGUAACGAAUUUAUAUUUAUUAUAUUAUUUAUUAUAUUAUUAUUUGUAUGAAUUUAUAUUAUAUAUGAAACGCGUAUAUUUCAUAUGAAGUUAAUAUUAAUACAAUAUUUACAAUAUAA